UGGGUGUACUGGAAUGACAGUUGUGAGAG
rnacentral:piRNA from 1 species